rnacentral:rRNA from 3 species
AAAUUGAAGAGUUUGAUCAUGGCUCAGAUUGAACGCUGGCGGCAGGCCUAACACAUGCAAGUCGAACGGUAACAGGAAGCAGCUUGCUGCUUUGCUGACGAGUGGCGGACGGGUGAGUAAUGUCUGGGAAACUGCCUGAUGGAGGGGGAUAACUACUGGAAACGGUAGCUAAUACCGCAUAACGUCGCAAGACCAAAGAGGGGG